UAAUUAGUUGCUCCAUUAGGACUCUGGUAUCAGAGGGGUAGAUGUGUUAGUCUGGAUCUGUGAAAGAGGCAAAGAGUCCUGUGGCACCUUAUAGACUAACAGACAUAUUGGAGCAUAAGCUUUCGUGGGUGAAUACCCACUUCUUCAG